GUGUGAUCUGGGGCCAGAAUGAAUGGCCCUGGUGACUUCUUACAUGACUGAUCCCACACCAGUCAGAAGGGGCUGUGAAGGCAGCAGCGAAAGAGCCACACAUGGACGUGGAAUGCGCACGCUGACCAUCAUGGUCACGACUGCAAGAAAGCAGUAGCCAACAUGCAAGAAGAGACAGAGGGGCUUCCAGCAUGGUGCCUGACACCUGGAGACACCCACUACUUACUGCGUGGGUGAAUGAAGAAAAUGUGUACCUGGCUCCAGAAUCGUCCAUUGCUGGCUGGCAUGGGGUUCCGUUGCUUAGAGGUGAGAGGGCUGUGUGGGUUAAUUGGCUGUGUCUGAGGGUCACCCCUGCACAAGGAGAAUGAUGAUGACUGCCCUGUGCAACCCUGGGUCAUCUCAGGGGAGAGCCAUUCCCAGGUUCACAGCAAGCACUCUUGUUACUCAGAUGGGCCACCUGCAUCAGGC
rnacentral:lncRNA from 1 species